UACGUAGGGUGCGAGCGUUAAUCGGAAUUACUGGGCGUAAAGCGUGCGCAGGCGGUUUUGUAAGCCAGGUGUGAAAUCCCCGGGCUCAACCUGGGAAUGGCAUUUGGGACUGCAAGGCUGGAGUGCGGCAGAGGAGACUGGAAUUCCUGGUGUAGCAGUGAAAUGCGUAGAUAUCAGGAGGAAUACCGAUGCGAAGGCAGGUCUCUGGGCCGAUAUUGACGCUGAGGAGCGAAAGCGUGGGGAGCGAACAGG
rnacentral:rRNA from 1 species